UGUAUUUGUGAUGAUCACUGGUGCCACAUGAGUUGUGCACCAUGUUCACAGGUUUGGGAGUCCAAAGUCCAC